rnacentral:rRNA from 1 species
UACGUAGGGUGCAAGCGUUGUCCGGAAUUAUUGGGCGUAAAGAGCUCGUAGGCGGUCUGUCGCGUCGAAUGUGAAAACCCGGGGCUCAACCCCGGGCCUGCAUUCGAUACGGGCAGACUAGAGUUCGGUAGGGGAGUCUGGAAUUCCUGGUGUAGCGGUGAAAUGCGCAGAUAUCAGGAGGAACACCGGUGGCGAGGGCGGGACUCUGGGCCGAUACUGACGCUGAGGAGCGAAAGCGUGGGGAGCAAACAGG